rnacentral:rRNA from 1 species
UACGUAGGGUGCAGGCGUUAAUCGGAAUUACUGGGCGUAAAGCGUGCGCAGGCGGCUCCUUAAGUCAGAUGUGAAAGCCCCGGGCUUAACCUGGGAACUGCGUUUGAAACUGGAGAGCUAGAGUGUAGAAGAGGGGGGUGGAAUUCCAGGUGUAGCAGUGAAAUGCGUAGAUAUCUGGAGGAACACCGAUGGCGAAGGCAGCCCCCUGGGUUAACACUGACGCUCAGGCACGAAAGCGUGGGGAGCAAACAGG